AGUGAACGCUGGCGGCGUGCUUAACACAUGCAAGUCGAACGAGAACGGAUUAUAGCUUGCUAUAAUUGUCAGCUAAGUGGCGCACGGGUGAGUAAUGUAUAGGUAAUAUGCCUCUUACUAAGGGAUAACAAUUGGAAACGUUUGCUAAUACCUUAUACUCCUUAUUAACAUAAGUUAAUAAGGGAAAGAUUUAUUGGUAAGAGAUUAGCCUGUAUCGUAUCAGUUAGUUGGUGGGGUAAUGGCUUAUCAAGACUAUGACACAUAACUGGUUUGAGAGGAUGAUCAGUCACACUGGAACUGAGACACGGUCCAGACUCCUACGGGAGGCAGCAGUGGGGAAUAUCGCACAAUGGACGAAAGUCUGAUGCAGCAACGCCGCGUGGAGGAUGACACAUUUCGGUGCGUAAACUCCUUUUAUAUGAGAAGAUAAUGACGGUAUUAUAUGAAUAAGCACCGGCUAACUCCGUGCCAGCAGCCGCCGUAAAAC
rnacentral:rRNA from 1 species